GACGAACGCCGGCGGCGUGCCUAAUACAUGCAAGUCGAACGCACGAAGUUGAAGAGCUUGCUCUUUAACCAAGUGAGUGGCGGACGGGUGAGUAACACGUGGGUAACCUGCCCAUUAGAGGGGGAUAACAUUCGGAAACGGAUGCUAAUACCGCAUAGUUUCAGGGAUCGCAUGAUUCUUGAAGGAAAGGUGGCUCCGGCUACCACUAAUGGAUGGACCCGCGGCGUAUUAGCUAGUUGGUGAGGUAAUGGCUCACCAAGGCAAUGAUACGUAGCCGACCUGAGAGGGUGAUCGGCCACACUGGGACUGAGACACGGCCCAGACUCCUACGGGAGGCAGCAGUAGGGAAUCUUCCGCAAUGGACGAAAGUCUGACGGAGCAACGCCGCGUGAGUGAAGAAGGUUUUCGGAUCGUAAAACUCUGUUGUUAAAGAAGAACAAGGAUGAGAGUAACUGCUCAUCCCCUGACGGUAUUUAACCAGAAAGCCACGGCUAACUACGUGCCAGCAGCCGCGGUAAUACGUAGGUGGCAAGCGUUGUCCGGAUUUAUUGGGCGUAAAGCGAGCGCAGGCGGUUCUUUAAGUCUGAUGUGAAAGCCCCCGGCUCAACCGGGGAGGGUCAUUGGAAACUGGAGAACUUGAGUGCAGAAGAGGAGAGUGGAAUUCCACGUGUAGCGGUGAAAUGCGUAGGUAUGUGGAGGAACACCAGUGGCGAAGGCGACUCUCUGGUCUGUAACUGACGCUGAGGCUCGAAAGCGUGGGGAGCAAACAGG
rnacentral:rRNA from 1 species